CCCCGUGGGUGUAAUAACGCGCUUCGUUGUAAAGCCCUUUCGGCACGGUAAAAAAUCGGCGGGGCGAAUAACCCUGCUGGAUGACGGUACCUGCAGAAGAAGCACCGGCUAACUACGUGCCAGCAGCCGCGGUAAUACGUAGGGUGCGAGCGUUAAUCGGAUUUACUGGGCGUAAAGCGUGCGCAGGCGGCCCGUUAAGACAGGUGUGAAAUCCCUGGGCUCAACCUAGGAAUUGCGCUUGUGACUGGCGGGCUCGAGUACGGUAGAGGGGGGUGGAAUUAUUGGGGUA
rnacentral:rRNA from 1 species